rnacentral:lncRNA from 1 species
GAGAUUGAGAUCAUCCUGGCUAACAUGGUGAAACCCCGUCUCUAUUUAAAAAAAAAAAAAAAUACAAAACAUUAGCCGGGCGUGGUGGCAGGCGCCUGUAGCCCCAGCUACUCGGGAGGCUGAGACGGGAGAAUGGUGUGAACCUGGGAGGCGGAGCCUGCAGUGAGCUGAGAUCGCGCCACUGCGAUCCAGCCUGGGCGACAGAGAGAGACUCUGUCUCAGAAAAAAAAAAGAAAAAGAAAAAGAAAAUCUCCCUGGAGUGUUUUCAGUAAAAUUCAAAUGGAUGUCAAGUCCCUUUGGGAUUCUACCAAAUACUGGUUUGAAAGGAAGAUUCAAAAUUAUAUAAGACGUUCUAGAUUCAAACUAAACUUAAAAUGAAUAUCUGCCGGGCGUGAUGGCUCAUGCCUGUAAUCCCACCACUUUGGGAGGCUGAGGAGACUGUAAAAUCAGGAAGUAUAUCUAAGUCACCUCCAAUAGCCGUAACUCUACCUUGUCCAGUAAAAGGAGAUAUUAAAAUACAGACCUUACUCAUUUUGAAGAUUAAAUUGUAAAGGAUCAUUUUGGAGUCAUACCGCCUUUAGAGGUAGUCAUGGAGACCUAGAUUUCAAACUGAAACUUCUGUUGAUUGGUUUCACUGUAAGAAGUUUUACUGUUAUCUAAGCCCUGAAAAUGAUUUCUGGAACCUGACUCAUUUAUCUCCACUCUCUAAAUGACACUAGGUUGAGUAAUCUAACUUUUUAAACAAGUUAAUAC